UACGAAGGGGGCUAGCGUUGCUCGGAAUCACUGGGCGUAAAGGGUGCGUAGGCGGCUUGUUAAGUCAGGGGUGAAAGUUUUCGGCCCAACCGGAAAAUUGCCUUUGAUACUGGCGAGCUGGAGUGCGUGAGGGGUGACCGGAACGAGUGGUGUAGCGGUGAAAUGCGUAGAUAUCACUCGGAAGGCCAACGGCGAAGGCAGGUCACUGGUGCGCAACUGACGCUGAGGCACGAAAGCGUGGGGAGCAAACAGG
rnacentral:rRNA from 1 species